CCUACGGGAGGCAGCAGUGGGGAAUAUUGGACAAUGGGGGCAACCCUGAUCCAGCCAUGCCGCGUGUGUGAAGAAGGCCCUCGGGUUGUAAAGCACUUUCAGUGAGGAAGAACGCCUGGUGGUUAAUACCCAUCAGGAAAGACAUCACUCACAGAAGAAGCACCGGCUAACUCCGUGCCAGCAGCCGCGGUAAUACGGAGGGUGCGAGCGUUAAUCGGAAUUACUGGGCGUAAAGCGCGCGUAGGUGGCUUGAUAAGCCGGUUGUGAAAGCCCCGGGCUCAACCUGGGAACGGCAUCCGGAACUGUCAAGCUAGAGUGCAGGAGAGGAAGGUAGAAUUCCCGGUGUAGCGGUGAAAUGCGUAGAGAUCGGGAGGAAUACCAGUGGCGAAGGCGGCCUUCUGGACUGACACUGACACUGAGGUGCGAAAGCGUGGGUAGCAAACAGGAUUAAUACCCUUGUAGUC
rnacentral:rRNA from 1 species